CCCAAAUUACGUGAAUGAAAUUAAUAAUAAUUAUCAUAAGAUAAUAUGAAUACACAGAUAUUUUUUUUUCUCCGCAAUUUCCACUUGGUGUUGUUGACAAACGCUAUCGCUAUUGUGCCAUAACAAAUGCUGUUUUGAUUUCAUGAACAGAUUAUCGUAUACAGACAACAAAACGUACUUUUUUUAAAAAAAAAAUUUAAUGCACAUAUUGUACAUUAAAUGGCCAUAAUUUUUUAAUUCCCGGAAAUAUUUCAAUUCAUACAUUUUUAAUUAGUCAACUAUGCAAAAAUAUGAUUUUAUAUGAAUAUUGAAUAUAUUCUCUUAACAUCAAAAUACUUAUAUGCAAAAUAAAAUGUUAAAUUCAGAUUAUUUGUACUGUGAAUCAUUGACAGAUAUUACUCCGUCGUAGAUUUGUAUACGUCCAUUAAAUGUUUUUAAAUAGAAAUCCGCGCUCUAAAUUACAAUUAAUUGUACAUUUAUAAUUAUUAAUAAUAUAAUUUAUUUGAUGAAUGUAUAACCAAAAUAAAAUAUAACAAUUUGUUAUUUAGCCCGUAAGAAGACAAGAUCAUGGGAGGGACGAUACAUUCCCCUCGUUCGACCACGCCUUUUAAGUGGAGUAGUGGUGUAGGUAAAUAAAGAAACGGAUAGGGAUCUGACGAUGUUGAAGGCGAGAAUAAACGAGUAGGUAUUUGAUGAGCUGAUCCCACUCGCGUGUAAAGUAAAAACUAAAGCAGAAGAAUCGUUAGAAUGUAUUGCAUGCAAUUAAAUAUUUAUUAAAAUAAGUCAACAUAACUUUUUUGUACAAUAUUUUUUGUCUGUACGUAUUAUUAUGCAAUUAUUACAUGGAUAAUUAAUAUAAUUAUUACUUACGUUGUUAUUAGAUAUGAAUAAUUACCGUUGUACGCAGCAAUAAACACAAUUAUAGGGCAAGGACGCAAAGUUCAUACAGUACUACACUGAUAUCGUGUUAUUCCAGUUUUUAUUAUUUGAACAAUUAUUACAUUAUAGUUUUAAUACUCACAUG